AGCAGCCGCGGUAAUUCCAGCUCCAAUAGCGUAUAUUAAAGUUGUUGCAGUUAAAAAGCUCGUAGUUGGAUUUCUGGUAUGGUGCGCCUGAUCCACGGCUGCAAAGCUGUGAGUGUCGGUGUGCGCCUGCCAUCUUUCUAGUUAACUGGACGCACUUAACUGUGCGGUCAGCGAUCUAGAUCUUUUACUUUGAAAAAAU
rnacentral:rRNA from 1 species